UGGUGAACGGCUAACAGGACUCACUCAAGACUUUGACGUCACUCACGUCACACCCCUUAAAGGCACACAUCAACACAGAAAUAUACUAGUGUGUGUGUGUGUGUCACUUUGGUCUUAAUUACACUUUAUAAAAUCAGUUAUUUUAUUGUUUUAUCAUGUUUUUUUAAAUAUUUGUAUUUUACAAUACAGCGCUAUUUGUCUACUAAACCCAUGUAACAAAAAGAUUCUGGUGGUCAACUACACGGACACCUUGCUCCCAUUUUUUAAUGCACAUAAUUCCCAUGUUCUUUCUAAGGACCGAUGGCUAGAUAAAAUAAAUUUGGCAAAAUACCUGGGCAAAAAAAUGCCUCCACAAAAUAUGACAGGUACUCUACUUUCACCUUCGCUGCAAGGUAACAAACAUAAACUGUGGCCGGAUGUUGUAAAGUUUGCUGCCGAUGUCUAGUGGCGAAAUACCUCAAACUUUCUCGUUAUUCAAAUUUUUGUUCGCAACGCAAAGCAAAACAUCGACGGCUCGUAAUUGAAAAACAUUUGGGAGAUGAACCUCGAGGAGUACUUCCAAAGAAUCGGGUUCCAUGGCCCGCGCAACAAAGCGGACCUCGCCACACUGAAGCUGAUUCACAAGUGCCACAUCAUGUCCGUCUGCUUUGAAAACCUUGACAUGCACUGCGGCGGCAGGAUUGUCAUGGACAUUGAAGUCAUCUUUGACAAAAUAGUCUGUCGAGGCCGUGGCGGCUGGUGCAUGGAGAACAACUUGCUGCUGUCCUGGGUGCUUAGAGAAAUGGGCUACGAGGUCACCGUGUUGGCUGCCAGGGUGUUCAACCGCACCAUCAGUGACUUUUCCCCCAUGGAAGGUCACCUCAUUAACAGGGUGGUGAUUGAUGGGAAAUCCUACAUAGAAGAUGUCAGCUUCGGGGUGUCGUCGCAACUGUGGGAGCCGUUGGAGCUCGUCUCCGGGAAGGAGCAAGUCCAGGUGCCGGGCACGUUCCGUCUCACGGAUAAAGGGGACUUGUGGAUUCUGGAGAAGACUGACAGGAAGCCGGAGAUUCUCAAUCCAGACUUCGCCGAUUCCAAUCUGGUGAACAGGCAGCCGACCAGGACCUUGUACUGCUUCACCCUGACGCCCCGCGACGUCGGAUAUUUCAUGGACGCCAGCCACAUUCUCCAGACGGAUCCUGCAUCGCUGUUCAUCAACAAGUCCAUCUGCUCCCUGCAAACACCCACAGGCUUCAGGGCCUUGAUUGGCUGGACCUUCAGUGAGGUCACAUACCAGGCCGAGCGGGGCGUGGACGUCUACGAUAUGAAGAACAUGGCCGAUGAGGAGAUGGAGAGCCUUCUGAGAGACAAGUUCAACAUCCGUUUGCCCAACAAACUACAGCCUGUGAACACUCAACAUAAGUAUACACUCUAAAACACUGGUUCCUAAACUGAGUCCAAGGGAGCCCCGGGCGUCUACGAGCCGUAGAUUGGGGGUCCGCAAAAUAAUUUGCAAUAGAUUUUUAUGUCAUUAAAAAGUGUAUAGCGAUGUAUCAGGACCAGCGCGCCAAUAAAACAAACUUAAUAAACCUGUUUUUAAAAUAUGACACUAGGAUAUUUUCAUAACAUGAAAGUAUUCCCAUUGUAUUCUCAAAUUCGGCUAUUCAUUGAUUAUUUUCAGAACCUAUUCCGUAUCCACCAUUAUUCGCUGACAACAUGCCCUAGAAUCCCACAAGAUAGCGCCAAAGUCCCAUCUAAUAGAAGAAUAGAGCUUUCUAGUGGUAUCGAUAAACAUUUAUAAACCUUGAUGGGGUUGUCUAGCUCACGUUUUUGGGUUAAAAAAAAAAUUCUAUCCAUCCAUCACAUCCGUUUAACGUACCGCUUAUCCUCUUUAAAAAAACAUUAUUUGUUUCCAUAACAAUACAACUUUUUUUCUCAAAUAGGCAAUUUUUUCUUAUUGCAUUUAGGGGUAUACAUGGGAUUAUGUUUGAUUGGUGUUUUGGAUUAUGAGCAAUUUCUUGGAAUAAAUUCACCCCUGUCCUGGCCGGGACUGAAAAAAAGCUUGAGAAUCCCUGCUCUAAAGUUUUGAAUUAACAUAAGAUAAGCAUAAACUACACAUAAAUUAACAACAAAUAAGUAAUUGAAGAAUCAGAAACCCUUUCAUACUGCCUGAAAAAGCUGUUUUUUUCCCCAGCCGUUUCCCCCGUGUGCUUUGCCAUUAACGGAGCCGACGAGAAAACGGGGGAGGAUGUCGACCUGGAAAAUGUUCUUUUUCUUUUACACUCCAUGAAAAAGCUAUCGUAUUGCCUCAUUUGCCCAUGUUGUACAGCAUGAACAACCCGUGUUCCCAACUCAUUUUCAGGCGAUGUUGCUUGAUGACAGGUCCCUGUUGCUAAAUGACGUUACCAUUGCCUAAUGAUGUAAUUACAUAGUUUAGAACAUUACAUAGAUUAUUACAUGGUGACAUUACCUAAAUUGACCAGCGCUUUUAUUUUCAGGAGUAAUACAGUAUAAGCAAAGCUUUAUAGGCUUUUUUGAUUUGUAUUUAUCUUACACUGUAUAAAUUUGUAUCUACAUGUAUUUGAUUGGUUUGAAAUGUGGUUGUUCAAGGAUUUAGAUGUAUCAAACAAAUUUAGCCACCAAAGAAAUACGUUUCCUGAAAAGUAAUCUUGAAAACCUUUUGCAAAACCGGCUUCAUUUUCAUCUGCAGUGAGUGAAUGAGUGCAUUAGUCGUGUUAGGAUUAUUAUUUUGGGUGAUUACUGAAGGCUUAGCCCUUUUCAGAUUGUUAAUGAUACUGUGUGUGACUUUUUCACCUCUUAACCAAACAAAAUUUAAAAGGAGCUACAUUUGUUGCCAUUUGCUUUUUUUGAGGGGAUUUGCUAUUGUAGUCUGGAAGUUGCUAAAUCGAGCAACAAAAGUGCUAAUUUGGUUUAAAUGUAAUGAACGGAUUAAUGGCAUUUCAAUUCAUUUCAAUGGGGAGACUAGAUUUCAUAUACAAGUAAAUUGAAUUGCGAGCAUGAUCACAGAAUGAAUUAAACUCGGAAGUCAAGGCUCCACUGGAUCUGCUAUAUGUGGAAUGUCAUGUGACCAAACCGGAAAACAGGUUUGCUGACUUCCUGUGUAUGCUGUGAUUGAAUAUAAUGAAUAUAAUUAAUUCAAUUUGAUUACUUUUUUCAUUUUGAAUGAAUGUAACAACAGGACCUUUUGAUGUUUACAUCAUGAAUACAUGAAUACAUCCUGUGUAAAAAAAAAAAAGACAGUGUCGACGUUUAAUAUUUCUACAGUUGCUUUGACCGGGUCUCCUGCCAUUGGACUCCGCCAGUCACCUGGACCGGAAGAAAGUGCUUCGACCUAUUGCCGAAUGCAAGCUUGACUCUAUACCAGCACUGUCAAAAAGCGGCAUCUUGUCUCAAGGCCAGGGACUGCAUCAUGCCUGGUAAUAGGUCCACAGCGACAAGAAGGCGGUGCUUCAUCUCACGCAAUCCGCCAAU